rnacentral:rRNA from 1 species
UGGGGAAUUUUGGACAAUGGGCGAAAGCCUGAUCCAGCAAUGCCGCGUGCAGGAUGAAGGCCCUCGGGUUGUAAACUGCUUUUGUACGGAACGAAAAGCCUGGGGCUAAUAUCCCCGGGUCAUGACGGUACCGUAAGAAUAAGCACCGGCUAACUACG